GGUACACGAGCGGCGAACGGGUGAGUAACACGUGAGUAAUCUGCCCUUCACUUCGGGAUAAGCCUCGGAAACGGGGUCUAAUACCGGAUACGACACUCCUUCGCAUGAGGUGGGUGUGGAAAGUUUUUCGGUGGGGGAUGUGCUCGCGGCCUAUCAGCUUGUUGGUGGGGUAAUGGCCUACCAAGGCUUCGACGGGUAGCCGGCCUGAGAGGGUGACCGGCCACACUGGGACUGAGACACGGCCCAGACUCCUACGGGAGGCAGCAGUGGGGAAUAUUGGACAAUGGGCGGAAGCCUGAUCCAGCAACGCCGCGUGAGGGAUGACGGCCUUCGGGUUGUAAACCUCUUUCAGUACCGACGAAGCGAAAGUGACGGUAGGUACAGAAGAAGCACCGGCCAACUACGUGCCAGCAGCCGCGGUAAUACGUAGGGUGCGAGCGUUGUCCGGAAUUAUUGGGCGUAAAGGGCUCGUAGGCGGUUUGUCACGUCGGGAGUGAAAACACUGGGCUUAACUCAGUGCUUGCUUUCGAUACGGGCAGACUAGAGGCAUGCAGGGGAGAACGGAAUUCCUGGUGUAGCGGUGAAAUGCGCAGAUAUCAGGAGGAACACCGGUGGCGAAGGCGGUUCUCUGGGCAUGUCCUGACGCUGAGGAGCGAAAGUGUGGGGAGC
rnacentral:rRNA from 1 species